AUGUGCCCGGGCCUCCGCAACGCCACCGCCGCCUGCGCCACCCACGACCACCCCUCCUCCUACCUCCUCGAGCUCGCCGCCGACGACGACCUGCCCGCCUUCCGCCGCGCCGUGCUGGAGGACAACCUCUCCCUCGUCGCCGCAUCCCCGUGGUACGGCCCAUCUCCCAAGCCCACCAACACCACCAACAGGCUGGCGCUCCACCUGCGCACCCCCGCCAUGGUCGCCGCGCUCUACGGCAGCACCACCGUCCUCUCCUACGUCCUCUCCAUCGCCCCCUCCGAGGCCGCCCGCGCCUCCGCCUCCGACGGCGCCACCCCGCUCCUCCUCGCCCACCAGGGCCGCGCGCCCUCCGCGCCACACGCCGCCCGCCUCCUCCUCAGCGCCGGCGCCUCAUCCUCCGACCUCCUCGCACUCGACCACCACCACCGCCACCAAAACAGACUCCCCACCAGCCCCACCAAGAAACAACAACAACCAGACUCCUCCUCCUCGCCGGCGGAGGCCACCGCCAGGAGGACAACCAAAAAGGACUACUCCUCCGACUCGGCCCAGACGGAGGACAUCAACGCGGGCGUGUUCGCCACCGACGACUUCCGCAUGUACAGCUUCAAGGUGAACCCGUGCUCCCGCGCCUACACGCACGACUGGACUGAGUGCCCCUUCGCCCACCCGGGGGAGAACGCCCGCCGCCGCGACCCGCGCCGCGUCCCAUACUCCUGCGUCCCCUGCCCGGACUUCCGCCGCGACCCGGCAGCAUGCCGCAAGGGCGACGCCUGCGAGUACGCGCACGGCGUCUUCGAGUCAUGGCUCCACCCGGCGCAGUACCGCACCAGGCUCUGCAAGGACGAGGUCGGCUGCCCCCGCCGCAUCUGCUUCUUCGCGCACGGCACCCGCCAGCUCCGCGCCGUCAACCCCUCCGCCGCCUCCAUGGCCUCGCCAUCCCCGAGCUCCUCGCCUUCGCCGCCGCGCUCCUCCUCCUCCUCCUCCAGGCCGGCGCUCACCGCGUCGCUCAGCUCGCGGGAGCUCGACUUGGACGCCGACAACCAGAACCAGUACGCGCGCAGGAUGAUGAUGGCCAGGGCCAACUCGCCGCCGGACUACUCGCCCGGCCUCGUCGCCGCCUACGUGCAGGCGCUCUCCUCCCUGCAGCACCAGCAGCAGCAGCAACAGCAGCAGCAGCAGCAGCAACAGCAGCACCAGCAACAACAGCAUAGCAGCGCGCGCGGCAACACGAAGCCGCCCAUGGGGAUGGGGGGGCUGAGCGCCCGCGCCGCCGCCUUCACCAACCGCAGCCAGACCUUCGUGCACCGCUCCCCGUCCCCGGCGGCGGCGUCGUCCAUGCUGGCGGACUGGGGGUCGCCGGACGGGAAGCUGGACUGGGGCGUGCAGGGCGCGGAGCUGCGCAGGUCCACGUCUUUCGGGGUCAGAAGCAGCAACAGCAGCAGGGGGCAGGAGGACAUGUACUCGUCGUGGAUGAACGACGGCGGCAGCGACAUGCUGGCGGCGCGGUGGUCGGACCUGGAGCAGAUGGUCGCCUAG
rnacentral:rRNA from 1 species